rnacentral:lncRNA from 1 species
AAGGGAGAGAGGCCAGCCUGGGAAGCCUGCAGUCACAGUCGCCAAGGAAGUCUAGUCUAGAUGAGGAGGGGCGGACCCCCCUCGGACUUUUCCCAGCCUGCUGCAGAACCGUACAAGCCAUCCCAGACGCCUGCAGAGGGCGCCAGGUCCUUCCCAGCCUCGCAGAGUCGGACUGGAGCUCAGGCUCAGUUCCGUGCUCCCAGGUAGAGCCUGGGCACUCUCCAGAUGGAAGACAGAGAUGGCCCCUUUGAACUGGUGGCACCCAGUGCAGGGGAGCUGCAGUAGCAGAAGAGCGGGUGCGCAAGAUGUGGAUGAAGAGCCAGCAGUUUCAGGACAUCCUGGACAGAGACAGAAUCUCACAGCUUUCCAACAGACAACCUUCAAGAAAGAGGAUUUUUGACCUUGGGCUUCUCACCAGCAGGGUAUCGAAUGCUUCGACUGGGCCGUGAGGGAAGAUGAUCUGCACUUCACAGUGAGAGCUCUGGAGACGCUGAGGAGGGAAAUCUACGCUGCUUGUUUUAUUCUGCAAAGACGAGAGUCAGCCUAGACUGACAUGAUACUUCUCGAGUCAUGGAGGGGUCACCAGUUGUACGGGUCAUCCAUUUCCUUUCAAGGUAUGAUUAUUUAUUUGUUCCUAUUAAAGACUUAUUUUCUCUGUGCUGA